ACGUAGGGGGCGAGCGUUGUCCGGAAUUAUUGGGCGUAAAGCGCGUGUAGGCGGCUUGGUAAGUCUGGUGUGAAAUCUUGGGGCUCAACCCCAAGCCUGCACUGGAUACUGCCUCGCUAGAGUCCGGGAGAGGAGAGUGGAAUUCCCAGUGUAGCGGUGAAAUGCGCAGAUAUUGGGAAGAACACCGGUGGCGAAGGCGGCUCUCUGGAACGGAACUGACGCUAAGACGCGAAAGCGUGGGGAGCGAACAGG
rnacentral:rRNA from 1 species